CCUACGGGAGGCAGCAGUGGGGGAUAUUGCACAAUGGGCGAAAGCCUGAUGCAGCGACGCCGCGUGAGGGAAGAAGGUCCUCGGCUUGUAAAGCUCUGUCUUUGGGGAAGAAAAUGACGGUACCUGAAGAGGAAGCUCCGGCUAACUACGUGCCAGCAGCCGCGGUAAUACGUAGGGAGCAAGCGUUGUCCGGAGUUACUGGGUGUAAAGGGGGCGUAGGCGGGGUUGCAAGUCAGAAGUGAAAGUCAUGGGCCCAACCGGGGGACUGCGUUUGAAACUGCGGUCCUGGAGUGCAGUAGAGGCAGGCGGAAUUCCUGGUGUAGCGGUGAAAUGCGUAGAUAUCAGGAGGAACACCGGUGGCGAAGGCGGCCUGCUGGGCUGCAACUGACGUUGAGGCUCGAAAGCGUGGGGAGCAAACAGGAUUAGAUACCCGAGUAGUC
rnacentral:rRNA from 1 species